CCGGCCCCUCGUGCCCCAGGAAGAGCAGCGGGCAGCACCAGAACGACAAAGGCAAGAACGUCCGCCAGAGGAACUCCUCCUGAGCCAGGUGGCCCAAGGACGCUCCCUGCUCCGCGUCUGCGCCGCCACCGGAGUCCACUCCCAGUGCUUGCAAGAUUCCAAGUUCUCACCUCUUAAAGAAAACCCACCCCGUAGAUUCCCAUCAUACACUUUCUUCUUUUUUAAAAAAGUUGGGUUUUCUCCAUUCAGGAUUCUGUUCCUUAGGUUUUUUCCUUCUGAAGUGUUUCACGAGAGCCCGGGAGCUGCUGCACUGCGGCCCCGUCUGUGGCUUUCAGCCUCUGGGUCUGAGUCAUGGCCGGGUGGGCGGCGCAGCCUUCUCCACUGGCCGGAGUCAGUGCCAGGUCCCUGCCCUUUGUGGAAGGUCACAGGUCACACGAGGGGCCCCAUGUCCCGCCUGUCUGAAGCCAACGCUGUCUGGUUGCACCAUUUUUGCGCUUUUAUGUUUAAUUUUAUGAAGGCCACGGGUCUGUGUUUGACUCAGCCUCAGGGACGACUCUGACCUCUUGGCCACAGAGGACUCACCUGCCCACACCGAGGGCGACCCCGUCACAGCCUCAAGUAACUCCCAAGCCCCCUCCUUGUCUGUGCAUCCGGGGGCAGCUCUGGAGGGGGUUUGCUGGGGAACUGGCGCCAUCGCCGGGACUCCAGAACCGCAGAAGCCUCCCCAGCUCACCCCUGGAGGACGGCCGGCUCUCCAUAGCACCAGGG
rnacentral:sRNA from 1 species